CUCAUGGCGCUUCUGACACUCUAGGGAACCUUUUUAAUUAUAAUAUACUACUAAUGUAUUGAUUUUAUAUGAAAAUAAAAUCUAACCAUACUGUCUUGUCUUACCUAUGCUAUAUAACAAAUGACUAGUAAAUUGAACCACCACAAAAAUCGUAAUUACUAAUUACCACUUUGUUCUUCAGCUGAUGGAGUACAAUGGAGCGAUGGCACAGAUGCUAACUACGGUGAAAUCAUCGAUACUGGUGAAGUUGGUCGAUGUGUUGUAUACAACCAAGUAGAUCACGUUUUCUCUUGGAAAAUACAGCUGUGCGCAUCUGAAAAUGCGUACGUGUGUAAGGAUAUUAGAGGUAACCAGUAGUGUGUUAAUUCUCGCGUACUGAAUUGUUUCUAUCGUAUGGGUGUAAAAAGUCAAAGUUACGAAGAGUUACAAUUCAACAUAAUGGCUCAAAACACAUUUUUCAUUCUAACACUUCUUUUCACAGCAUUAACAAUUGUUUUUUUUACAGCAUUAACUAGAUCUUUUUUGCAGCAUUAACCUAGUUCAUUCCACAGCAUAGGUAUUGUAUUAACAGCACAGACCAAUCCCAGACCCACCAACUUCUAUCAAAUUACUGUGCCAAAAAGGUUAACAUAGACUUAUUUCAGCUUUCAAAAAUAUUUCCACUUGGAUAUAAUUUCAACGGAAGUCGAUGUAAAGGUACAUUUCUGGUCAAUCAAGUACUUGCAAGUCUGCUAGAUUGCAUGCAUGUGAUGACUGAAGUAUACUAUACUAUGCUGGUAGGCAUUGAGGGCGCUGUUGCUAACGACGGUAUAAAUAACAUCUUCUGCACUUGUUCAUGCGUUUUGGGAGCUAAUUAUGAGACUGGUGGUGUUCUAGCAAUUUUCCAGUCAUCUUGAACAUAACCGGACAUGAGUGAAAGAUUAACAAUAUAAGAUAAAGAUUUUGAAAUAAACGGAGCUGCUAAACUUAAUAGUUCACUAUCAAAUUCAAGAACAUCAAUAUUAUAUUUCAGCGAGGAGACAACCUGUGAUAUGGGAAUGUUGAUCAUAUGCUUAAACCACGUGGUGUUGUGCUUACGAUACGAUUGAAAGUGAUGAAUGAUGGCAGUGAAUACCCGUUCUUCAAAUGUCAAACUAUCAGCCUAUUAUAACGAGUAAUACUUCUGGUGUAACACGUACUUUUAAAUUUGUUUAGAAGCAUUGUAUAAUUUUGUGUAGUUUUGUCAUGUUGUAGCCUUUUUUUAUUAGAAUAUUGGUGAGCAUUAAGGUUAUUAUUGGGAAGAUGAUAAUAAUAGGCCGAAUAACAACGACGACAGCGGCGAUUGUGAUGAUAAAGAAGUUUGAAAAUGCGUAUCAUAUGGCUAGCCUUAUGACAAUAAAUGAUAUCUAAAUCUCAAAUGAGGAUGAUAAUAAUGACAAUGAAAAUUGUCCUAAUGUUGAUAUAUUUAAUUGCAUCAUUUCGGUUUUUAAAAGAAUUAUUAGUGAUUUUAUUUAUGUAUGUGUGCUAUUUUCAAUGUUAUUUCAAUUUUAAAAUUUAAAAUUUAAGCUUAAUACUAUAGUUUGAUACUAAAUUUUACUAUAUCAAGGUUUUUGGUGCUUUUUAACACUCGUGGGUGUUUAAAUAAAUGAAUAAAAAGAAUAUUAUUAUUAAUUGUUUAAUUAUAGAUGCUCUGUGUGUGAAAAUACCUAUAUAAAUGAUUAUUUAAUUUGUAGUACACCACAUUAACAGUUCUGAGUACUGGUGUGUUGAGAUAGUUUCAAAUUGAUUGUAUAGAGUGUCCUAUUCGGCUUCUGAUUCAAAAUGUCAAGAAAUUUUAUACAUUAGUUUUUCUUAAUAUAUACGUGUACCUUGAAUUUAUACAAUAGAUAAUUAGUCAUAUCUAAGUCUAGGAUAAGAUAGGUUGUCGAACUCUACAACUGAUGGCAUCAUUAUUCAGAAACAAAUGAGGCGAAAGAGAAAGAUAAAACAUGUGAUUACUUCAUAAAUUGCCAAUAAUCAUUGUGUUCAGUUCCCGUUCGUCAAUCGCCACUAAUAUUCAUAUAGAAUUGUUUUGUGAUAGCUAUUACUAUAAUGAGUGAAGUGCAAUCUCUCAAUUUAGUACCCUAAAGACUACCUCAGUGUUUACAAGUGGCUUAAACAUAUAUUUCGAAAUGGAAUGUAUGUAUGUAGGCCUAUUAUUUGUUAAAAUAAUAGCCUAAGUACCAGGGGAGAUUUUACAAUAUUUAUCAUACGUAAGCAUCAGAUUUAUUUUUUUAAAAUUGUAUAUUGCUCUUCU